GACGAACGCUGGCGGCGUGCCUAAUACAUGCAAGUCGAGCGGAUUCCACCUUCGGGUGGAGUUAGCGGCGGACGGGUGAGUAACGCGUGGGAACCUUCCCUGUGGUACGGAAUAGCUCCGGGAAACUGGAAUUAAUACCGUAUACGCCCUUUGGGGGAAAGAUUUAUCGCCAUAGGAUGGGCCCGCGUUGGAUUAGCUAGUUGGUGAGGUAACGGCUCACCAAGGCGACGAUCCAUAGCUGGUCUUAGAGGAUGAUCAGCCACACUGGGACUGAGACACGGCCCAGACUCCUACGGGAGGCAGCAGUGGGGAAUAUUGGACAAUGGGCGCAAGCCUGAUCCAGCCAUGCCGCGUGAGUGACGAAGGCCUUAGGGUUGUAAAGCUCUUUUGGCGGGGACGAUAAUGACGGUACCCGCAGAAUAAGCCCCGGCUAACUUCGUG
rnacentral:rRNA from 1 species